UGGGGAAUAUUGGACAAUGGGCGAAAGCCUGAUCCAGCCAUGCCGCGUGUGUGAAGAAGGUCUUCGGAUUGUAAAGCACUUUAAGUUGGGAGGAAGGGCAUUAACCUAAUACGUUAGUGUUUUGACGUUACCGACAGAAUAAGCACCGGCUAACUCUGUGCCAGCAGCCGCGGUAAUACAGAGGGUGCAAGCGUUAAUCGGAAUUACUGGGCGUAAAGCGCGCGUAGGUGGUUUGUUAAGUUUGAUGUGAAAUCCCCGGGCUCAACCUGGGAACUGCAUUCAAAACUGACUGACUAGAGUAUGGUAGAGGGUGGUGGAAUUUCCUGUGUAGCGGUGAAAUGCGUAGAUAUAGGAAGGAACACCAGUGGCGAAGGCG
rnacentral:rRNA from 1 species